UUCUGGUUUUGUUUCUGUUUCGUUAUCACAGCCUGUUUUGUAUUUGACAUCUUUAGUUCCUGGUUGCACUUCCUGGUUUGUUUCGGUUGCCUAGUUACGCAUUUAGUGUCACCUGUUUCUGGUUUUUGAUCACGCGCACCUGCCCCUGAUGAUUUCUGCCCCUAUAUAUGCCUGUCCUUGUUUGCCUUUCGUUCUCGGACUAAAGUUUGCCUCACGCAACAGAUGACGUCUCAUUCCCGCAUUGUGGGGCGUAGCUCCCCGCCGAGGGGUAGAGAACCACCCCUUCCCGCCUCCUCCAACAUGGCCGCCGUCCCGCCGCAGCUAAUAGGAGGCUUCGUAUGAAGAAAGGCAUUCAUCGAAAUGUUGGGGUGGAUAGUCGCCAUUGUUAUGUCAAGAACGCUCGGCGUGAAUCCUUCGACGGGAUGAAGGCCACUCAAGUCUUUAGCAAAGUGUCAUUGUCACAUGUCCUUCACAACACUCCAGCACUCCCCUCAAACCAAGGACCACAGCACCACCUGGUGGCUGCACAGAUACUGCACUCACACGUCCUGCUGCUGCUGCUGCUUGCAGAGGUGGAACCAGGACAUGUGUCACAUGACCCUCACUGACCUGGCGGGACCCCCGAGGAGAUGGUGGAGGACGACAGGUGGCCUUGACCCUUGGAGGUCAUGCCGGCCACCUCGAUGGUGUAGGUGGUGAGCGCCGUCAGGCCGGUGACGCGGUACUCCAAGGUCAGGCUGGGCAGGUAAUGUGUGACCCGCGUGUUGGUGCGGUUAAACUCCUCCCACGAGAUGCGGUAACCUGCAAUACGACAACAGGAACUAAGUUAUUCUUAUUGUCAACACUUAUUACACCGGAACCACAUAUAAUGCAAUAAAUUAAAAAAGGCAUUCAUUUAUUUUUUGCAUCAU